GAUGAAGAACGUAGCGAAAUGCGAUAAGUAGUGUGAAUUGCAGAAUUCAGUGAAUCAUCGAGUCUUUGAACGCACAUUGCGCCCCCUGGUAUUCCGGGGGGCAUACCUGUUCGAGCGUCAUUUCACCACUCAAGCCUCGCUUGGUAUUGGGCAACGCGGUCCGCCGCGUGCCUCAAAUCGACCGGCUGGGUCUUCUGUCCCCUAAGCGUUGUGGAAACUAUUCGCUAAAGGGUGUUCGGGAGGCUACGCCGUAAAACAACCCCAUUUCUAAGGUUGACCUCGGAUCAGGUAGGGAUACCCGCUGAACUUAAGCAUAUCAAUAAGCGGAGGA
rnacentral:misc_RNA from 1 species